GCUGGGGCUCAGUGGUAGAGCACUUGCCUAGCAUGUGUGAGGCCCUGGGUUCAAUUCUCAGACCUGCA
rnacentral:tRNA from 1 species